AGUGAACGCUGGCGGCGUGCCUAAUACAUGCAAGUCGAACGGAGUGGCGCACGGGUGAGUAAUGUAUAGCUAAUCUGCCCUACAAUCGAGGACAACAGUUGGAAACGACUGCUAAUAAUCUAGAGUGUAGGAUGAGGCUAUAUUGUCUCAGCUAGUUUGUGAGGUAAUGGUUCACCAAGGCUAUGACGCAUAACUGGUCUGAGAGGAUGAUCAGUCACACCGUAACUGAGACACGGUCCAGACGCCUACGGGAGGCAGCAGUAGGGAAGAUUGCGCAAUGGGGGAAACCCUGAAGCAGCAUCGCCGCGUGGAAGAAUACUCUUUUCGGAGCGUAAACUCCUUUUGUUAGGGAAGCGGUACCUAACGAAUAAGCCCCGGCUAACUCCGUGCCAGCCGCCGCGGUAAUUC
rnacentral:rRNA from 1 species